AGGAAGGUAUGGCUCUACUUGUCUACGUUCAUAUAUUAAAGAGCUGUUUAAUGUCAACUGGUUAGUGGCAAGAAAAGAUCUUCUCUAAUCAUUCCACCUGUGUAAAAUUAAUUGUCUAUGCUUGCAUCUGAAAGAGGAAACAAUGGCUGCAUCUUUUUAAUUUUGUAGAAUAUACCAGUACUAUGGAAUAGUGUGUCACAUUGCAUAUUUUAGCCAUAAUACCGAGAAAAAAACAGACAGAGACACCCCACCCACCAAAGGUAUUGUUUGUGUUAUAAUAUACUAAGAUAUGGAAUCUCCGCACUCGAUAACCCACAACAUGGGCGGUUUAUUGUAAUUACUUCUGCCUUGGUUCGUCCAAUCACUACUCUCCUUACGUAGCACAGAGGCCAUUAGGCAUUCCGUGGUCGCUUGAUCUUGGUCGUUGCUUUGAACAGUCUCCACGUGAAGAACCCUCCAAGUAAAUUCUGCUCGAAAAAACUAAAGCUCAUUAAAAGAUCUGCGUGAUGGCUGGCCAUGCCUGUUAUUCGUUUGAUAGCGUAACUGGUACCGCCCCAGACACUCAGACUGUAAAAUGGUCAGAUAUGAAAACUGGUUCAGAUCCCGAUGCAUACAUAGAAGGGACCAAUCUCAUUGGGGAAAUUGUAAUUAAUGGAAGCAAGAAAUAUUACCGACUUGACUUGAGUAGACAGCUUGAGCAAGGUCAUCAACCGAGCGUAACACUAAAUAAAAGAAAUCAUACCAUAACUCUUACUUAUGGAUCUUGGUGCGUGCUUUUUUAAUUGUCAUCAAACAUAUUCCGUUUGAAACUGCUGAAGAUGAAGAACAAGAUAUAUUAUCUACCUUGAAGGAAGACACACAAAAAUAUAAAAAUAUAUACACACAUUUUCUUUUUGUUCCUCUAUAGUGAAUCUUGUAUGCAUGAAGUGGAUUUGAUCCACCAUAGCCAAAUUUGAAUCAACACUGCUACAGUGUUUUCUAUACUUGAUCCUUUCUAACCUCUUCUACUUCACGAAAAGCUAGAAUGGAGACAACAAGACCACUAACUAAAUCUAUUGUUCUCAAUGAUAUAUCUAUCCUUCUGGAUCUUAAUAUAAGCAAGCACAUUCCAAGCAAAAAUCAGUCAGUCACAUCGUUACUCAACCAAGCAGCUUCCCGUAAUAACAAGCUGCUAAACAAAGAUUCUUCACCCAAGAGUUCCAACACUAUUCUUACCAAUUCCAACCAAACAUACAAUAAUAAUAAUAGAAAUAGUAUUGAUAGUAGCAACAUUCGUAACAGCAUUAGUAUUAGCAAUGAUAAUAUUAAUAAUAGCAUUAGUCAGGUUAAUAACAGUGGUAGUGUUGAUGAUAACAACAACAACAUUUCUGUUGUCAGGGAUAUUGCCGGUUAUAGUACAUUUAAUAAUAAUAACAAUAAUAGAAAUAGUGUAGUGGUUAAUGCUAGCAGUAAUAUUAACAGCAAUCAUAACAAUAAAAACUCCAUCUUAAUCUCGGAGGAAAACCCUAACAGAUUAAAGUUCUUGUCCAGUAAUUCCAAAAUUAAAAAUUCCAUUUACCAGUGUAAAAUUUCUUCUGGUACUGAUGUCUUCUUCUAUAUUGGUGCGACAACUUCUUGAUUAUCCCAGAGAAUUUCCAAUCAUUAUUCAACUUUCCGAGAUAAGAGAAAACAACAAAGUACAGGACUAAGUAAAUUGGUUUGGCGUCCUAAGGACAGCAAUAUAACUUUCAAGCUGGAUUGGUCCAUAUUGUCUGUAUCCUUUCCUUUUGAUAAGGGCAGGAAAUAUUGUGGCAUUUGUAAUUCCGAACUCUUCUAUAUCCUUUUCGCCAAGUUCCCCUUGGUAAACACAAUAAUAGAAAAAUCCUAUAAGUGCAAGCAUUGGCAGAAGCACACUUUCCACUAAUAUGAAUGAUGAUUAAUAUAGAUAACCUCUUUGAUUUUAAUAAUUAGUUUCACGUCUACACCACUGCCAUAGACAGAUGCUUUCUGUCUACUCCGUUCCAUGAAGCAUUACUACUAAAUAUCGUUGGCGUAUGUUUAUCUCUUUCUCUCUACCCCCCCUCUCUCUCUCUCUAUCAUACGCACAAUCAAACACACAGACACAAAUUUGUCACCUCACUACUAAAUAUAUUUGACAAUUGUCCCCCCCCCACACACACAAUUACGCACACACACACACAGAGACACAAAUGCGGUUAUAUACAUACACACACAUAAACACUCAAACUCAUUAACAAAAGCAUACACCCGUGCAUCCCCAUACAUUCAGCAUACAUAUUGUCCCCUUCCUAUUUUUAGAACUUUCUCCUUCCAACCAAUGUUGACAUCAUUGCUUAUAACGUAUUAUUUAAAAUAAAAAACACUCAUUAUCACUGUGGACACCAUGUGGGCAGUCAUCAAAAAGUCUUUGUUCGUCUUGAGGCUGAUAUAGGUUCCUUGUCUUUCCUGAUGAGAAGAUGGCAUAAUGCACCCUUUAUUCCUUCGGAAUUAAGAAUAUGCAGUCUUCGAAACAUGUGUCCAGAAUAAA
rnacentral:misc_RNA from 1 species